AUGAAAUGGCAAAUCUUGCUCAAGAUGCCAAACUACUCGAUUGCAACACAAAAAAUGAUUGUUGCGGCUACCAUGACACUACACAACUACGUCCCCCUCCAUGUCAAAGAGGAUCUCCACUUUCUUCGAUCUGAAAGGGAUCCGGAUUAUGUUCCAACCAUUCCUGAUAGAUACAAGAAGUAUGCUAUUCCUUCAAAUGCAUCGGAUGCUCAGAAAGUGGUCCUAACAUGGAUUUGUUUAGGCAUGAACUAG
rnacentral:rRNA from 1 species